rnacentral:rRNA from 1 species
UGAGGAAUAUUGGUCAAUGGGCGAGAGCCUGAACCAGCCACGUCGCGUGAAGGAAGACUGACCUUACGGUUUGUAAACUUCUUUUGUAGAGGGGUAAUGGCAGAUACGUGUAUUUGCGUGAAAGUACUCUACGAAUAAGCAUCGGCUAACUCCGUGCCAGCAGCCGCGGUAAUACGGGGGAUGCGAGCGUUAUCCGGAAUUAUUGGGUUUAAAGGGUGCGCAGGUGGCUAAUCAGGUCAGUGGUGAAAAGCUAUGGCUCAACCAUGGUCUUGCCAUUGAAACCGUAUAGCUAGAGAGGAGACGAGGCAGGCGGAAUGUGUGGUGUAGCGGUGAAAUGCAUAGAUAUCACACAGAACUCCGAUUGCGAAGGCAGCUUACCAGGCUUUAUCUGACACUUAGGCACGACAGCGUGGGGAUCAAACAGG